rnacentral:rRNA from 1 species
GGGUUGUGAGGUUAAGCGACUAAGCGUACACGGUGGAUGCCCUGGCAGUCAGAGGCGAUGAAGGACGUGCUAAUCUGCGAUAAGCGUCGGUAAGGUGAUAUGAACCGUUAUAACCGGCGAUUUCCGAAUGGGGAAACCCAGUGUGUUUCGACACACUAUCAUUAACUGAAUCCAUAGGUUAAUGAGGCGAACCGGGGGAACUGAAACAUCUAAGUACCCCGAGGAAAAGAAAUCAACCGAGAUUCCCCCAGUAGCGGCGAGCGAACGGGGAGCAGCCCAGAGCCUGAAUCAGUGUGUGUGUUAGUGGAAGCGUCUGGAAAGGCGCGCGAUACAGGGUGACAGCCCCGUACACAAAAAUGCACAUGCUGUGAGCUCGAUGAGUAGGGCGGGACACGUGGUAUCCUGUCUGAAUAUGGGGGGACCAUCCUCCAAGGCUAAAUACUCCUGACUGACCGAUAGUGAACCAGUACCGUGAGGGAAAGGCGAAAAGAACCCCGGCGAGGGGAGUGAAAAAGAACCUGAAACCGUGUACGUACAAGCAGUGGGAGCACGCUUAGGCGUGUGACUGCGUACCUUUUGUAUAAUGGGUCAGCGACUUAUAUUCUGUAGCAAGGUUAACCGAAUAGGGGAGCCGAAGGGAAACCGAGUCUUAACUGGGCGUUAAGUUGCAGGGUAUAGACCCGAAACCCGGUGAUCUAGCCAUGGGCAGGUUGAAGGUUGGGUAACACUAACUGGAGGACCGAACCGACUAAUGUUGAAAAAUUAGCGGAUGACUUGUGGCUGGGGGUGAAAGGCCAAUCAAACCGGGAGAUAGCUGGUUCUCCCCGAAAGCUAUUUAGGUAGCGCCUCGUGAAUUCAUCUCCGGGGGUAGAGCACUGUUUCGGCAAGGGGGUCAUCCCGACUUACCAACCCGAUGCAAACUGCGAAUACCGGAGAAUGUUAUCACGGGAGACACACGGCGGGUGCUAACGUCCGUCGUGAAGAGGGAAACAACCCAGACCGCCAGCUAAGGUCCCAAAGUCAUGGUUAAGUGGGAAACGAUGUGGGAAGGCCCAGACAGCCAGGAUGUUGGCUUAGAAGCAGCCAUCAUUUAAAGAAAGCGUAAUAGCUCACUGGUCGAGUCGGCCUGCGCGGAAGAUGUAACGGGGCUAAACCAUGCACCGAAGCUGCGGCAGCGACGCUGAUGCGUUGUUGGGUAGGGGAGCGUUCUGUAAGCCUGCGAAGGUGUGCUGUGAGGCAUGCUGGAGGUAUCAGAAGUGCGAAUGCUGACAUAAGUAACGAUAAAGCGGGUGAAAAGCCCGCUCGCCGGAAGACCAAGGGUUCCUGUCCAACGUUAAUCGGGGCAGGGUGAGUCGACCCCUAAGGCGAGGCCGAAAGGCGUAGUCGAUGGGAAACAGGUUAAUAUUCCUGUACUUGGUGUUACUGCGAAGGGGGGACGGAGAAGGCUAUGUUGGCCGGGCGACGGUUGUCCCGGUUUAAGCGUGUAGGCUGGUUUUCCAGGCAAAUCCGGAAAAUCAAGGCUGAGGCGUGAUGACGAGGCACUACGGUGCUGAAGCAACAAAUGCCCUGCUUCCAGGAAAAGCCUCUAAGCAUCAGGUAACAUCAAAUCGUACCCCAAACCGACACAGGUGGUCAGGUAGAGAAUACCAAGGCGCUUGAGAGAACUCGGGUGAAGGAACUAGGCAAAAUGGUGCCGUAACUUCGGGAGAAGGCACGCUGAUAUGUAGGUGAAGCGACUUGCUCGUGGAGCUGAAAUCAGUCGAAGAUACCAGCUGGCUGCAACUGUUUAUUAAAAACACAGCACUGUGCAAACACGAAAGUGGACGUAUACGGUGUGACGCCUGCCCGGUGCCGGAAGGUUAAUUGAUGGGGUUAGCGCAAGCGAAGCUCUUGAUCGAAGCCCCGGUAAACGGCGGCCGUAACUAUAACGGUCCUAAGGUAGCGAAAUUCCUUGUCGGGUAAGUUCCGACCUGCACGAAUGGCGUAAUGAUGGCCAGGCUGUCUCCACCCGAGACUCAGUGAAAUUGAACUCGCUGUGAAGAUGCAGUGUACCCGCGGCAAGACGGAAAGACCCCGUGAACCUUUACUAUAGCUUGACACUGAACAUUGAGCCUUGAUGUGUAGGAUAGGUGGGAGGCUUUGAAGUGUGGACGCCAGUCUGCAUGGAGCCGACCUUGAAAUACCACCCUUUAAUGUUUGAUGUUCUAACGUUGACCCGUAAUCCGGGUUGCGGACAGUGUCUGGUGGGUAGUUUGACUGGGGCGGUCUCCUCCUAAAGAGUAACGGAGGAGCACGAAGGUUGGCUAAUCCUGGUCGGACAUCAGGAGGUUAGUGCAAUGGCAUAAGCCAGCUUGACUGCGAGCGUGACGGCGCGAGCAGGUGCGAAAGCAGGUCAUAGUGAUCCGGUGGUUCUGAAUGGAAGGGCCAUCGCUCAACGGAUAAAAGGUACUCCGGGGAUAACAGGCUGAUACCGCCCAAGAGUUCAUAUCGACGGCGGUGUUUGGCACCUCGAUGUCGGCUCAUCACAUCCUGGGGCUGAAGUAGGUCCCAAGGGUAUGGCUGUUCGCCAUUUAAAGUGGUACGCGAGCUGGGUUUAGAACGUCGUGAGACAGUUCGGUCCCUAUCUGCCGUGGGCGCUGGAGAACUGAGGGGGGCUGCUCCUAGUACGAGAGGACCGGAGUGGACGCAUCACUGGUGUUCGGGUUGUCAUGCCAAUGGCACUGCCCGGUAGCUAAAUGCGGAAGAGAUAAGUGCUGAAAGCAUCUAAGCACGAAACUUGCCCCGAGAUGAGUUCUCCCUGACUCCUUGAGAGUCCUGAAGGAACGUUGAAGACGACGACGUUGAUAGGCCGGGUGUGUAAGCGCAGCGAUGCGUUGAGCUAACCGGUACUAAUGAACCGUGAGGCUUAACCUUACAACGCCGAAG